CCUACGGGGGGCUGCAGUGGGGAAUUUUGGACAAUGGGGGCAACCCUGAUCCAGCCAUGCCGCGUGAGUGAAGAAGGCCUUCGGGUUGUAAAGCUCUUUCGGCCGGGAAGAAAUCGCUCAAGCUAAUACCUUGGGUGGAUGACGGUACCGGAAGAAGAAGCACCGGCUAACUACGUGCCAGCAGCCGCGGUAAUACGUAGGGUGCUUGCGUUACUCGGAACGUGUGGGCGUAAAGCGUGCGCAGGCGGCGGAAAGCCCCGGGCUUAACCUGGGAACUGCGUUUGUGACUGUGGUGCUCGAGUGCGGCAGAGGGGGGUGGAAUUCCACGUGUAGCAGUGAAAUGCGUAGAGAUGUGGAGGAACACCGAUGGCGAAGGCAGCCCCCUGGGUCGACACUGACGCUCAUGCACGAAAGCGUGGGGAGCAAACUGGAUUAGAUACCCUUGUAGUC
rnacentral:rRNA from 1 species